AUUGAACGCUGGCGGCAGGCCUAACACAUGCAAGUCGAGCGAGCGGCGGACGGGUGAGUAAUGUCUGGGAAACUGCCUGAUGGAGGGGGAUAACUACUGGAAAAGGUAGCUAAUACCGCAUAACAUCAGAUGUGCCAAGAUGGGAUUAGCUAGUCGGUGGGGUAAGGGCUCACCUAGGCGACGAUCACUAGCUGGGCUGAGAGGAUGACCAGCAACACUGGAACGGAGACACGGUCCAGACUCCUACGGGAGGCAGCAGUGGGGAAUAUUGCACAAUGGGCGCAAGCCUUAUGCAGCCAUGCCGCGUGUGUGAAGAAGGCCUUCGGGUUGUAAAGCACUUUCAGCGGGGAGGCGUUACCCGCAGAAGAAGCACCGGCUAACUCCGUGCCAGCAGCCGCGGUAAUAC
rnacentral:rRNA from 1 species